GGCCCGCUGGGCCCAAUGCUAACUUGUACUAAGUAUCGUGGACGCGUGGGAGUUUGUGGAAGAACAACUUAAGACCACGCAGUGGGUGUCCCUACCCGUUCAGCGGCCUGAGCAGUGGGGGCUGCAGAGCAGUCUUCUGUGGCAGGCCGAGUGCUGAGUCUUCAAUAGGAAACUGCUGAAUAGGCACAGAGGCACCUGCUCGUCAUCAGACCCACCCCUGGCCUCGGGUUGAGCUGCAGUGAACUCCGGAGCUGGAGCAGCCCUUUCACCCUAAAAUUCUCUCUCUUUUCAAUCUCUCCAGGCUCUCUGUAGUAGAGAUCAGGCAUGACCUCCCAUGGAUGUUCACGGGAGAUGGUGCCGCGCUUGCACAGAACUUCCCGAGCCAGCAUCCACCACAUUAGACCCACUGAGUGAGCUCCUUGCUGUUGCAAGGGCUGGCAAAGUCCACAUUGCACAGAGGAGAGUCUGCGUGACACAGCGCAGUGGUCGGCAGGUUAUAAUAUAAGACGUGUCUGUGAGGAGCUGGUGGUCAGCGAUAGAUCAGUAAUCACCAGGAGUCUCGGCUCCCGUAAGACUACCUGGGUGUGGUUGGUGAAGAUUCCAGGAGUAAAGCAGCUGGCAGUAAGAGCGGCUCCAGUGACAAACUCAGCUUGCUGGCCAGCAUUCCUGGACGAGAUGACACUGGCGUCAGCAGGGGUUUCAAUGGCAACAGUGGCACGAACUGCCAGCAGGAGCCUCUCCCAGGUGCUCUUCAGAUUUAUGAUGUAGAUGCCAUCACUUUUCCUUUUGUAGAUGUGCUGUUCCAUUUGGAAGUCAAGGUUGGUGCCACCUAAGUGGGUUCCUGCUGUAAGGAAUUUAAGGACAGGACAUCCUCCUCCUUCAUUUGCAGGACAUCAAGGUCUCUGGACAUUGUGAAAGUUUCCAUUUCAGUUAUGUGGGAACUGAGAACAAUGCCAUAUGGGUAGUGUAGAAAGCUGUUUUCUAUUUUUUGUUUUUUAAUCCUCACCCCGGGAUAUGUUUAUUGGUUAGAGAGAGAGAGGGGAGUGGAGGAGGGAGAGAGAAAGAGAGAAACAUGGAUGUGAGAGAGAAUCAGUUGCCUUCUUUACAUGCCCCAAACGAACCCGUAACCUAGGUAUGUGCCUUGACUUGGAAUUGAACCCGAAACUAUUUUUGGUGUAUAGGGAUGAUGCUUCAAUCAGUUGAGCCACCCAGACAGGGCAAAGCUGUUUUUGUUUUUUUAAUAACAUGAUUAAAUAAAUGUUUAAAAGAAAUAUUCACUUAUAAUCGUGCACUUAUAACUGCACAAUUGUAACAAUUGUUUCCAUUUUUGCCUAACGACUUCCAAUCUAUAAUCAUGUAUACACAUAAUAAUAAUGUAUUCAGUCAUAACAGUGUAAAAGUAAGUGAAUGGUGCCAUUAGUUGAAUUGGGAAAACAAGUUUGGAUGGAGUGGAAAUCAAGAGUUCUAUUUUGGACAGUUAAGUACGAUAUGCCUAUUAGACAUCCAAAUAGAGUUGUUCAGUAGGAACUUGGAUGUGUGAGAAGAUCACUGCUAGAGAUACAGAUUUUGGAUGCAUUAGAAGACAUGCUAUUUGAAAUGGUGGGGCUGGUCAAAUUAUAUUGAGUGGUGUCUAAUAGAAAUGGAAAUUCACAGGACUUGACCACUGAUCAGAGGUUGUAAGUGUGCAUAUGUCUGUACCAGAGAGAGCUUCACAGAGAGAAAAGUCACACGACUUGGAACUUUUUAGCCUAGAAAUAAUAGAAAAUCGUGUGAUUUUAACUGAUACAGGGAAUAGAAGAGAACUAGAAGAACAAAAAGGAGAAAGGAGGAAAUAAUGAGUUCAGUUUGGAUCAUGCUGAGUUCGAGGCACUAAUAGGUCAACCAGAGAUGGAGUCUAGCAGUUUAAAUUAUGAAUUUUAUUUUAAUUUUUUUUAAAGAUACAAGAGCCUGUUUAUAAUUUCCCAUUGUCUCUUCAAUAGUGAACACUGCUUCAGCUACUUUACCCCUCAAUAGACUUUUUUUCCCCGACCUUUCCUAUUUUU